UACGAAGGGGGGCGAGCGUUGUUCGGAUUUACUGGGCGUAAAGGGCGCGCAGGCGGCUCAUUUUUGUCAGGCGUGAAAGCCCCCGGGCUUAACCUGGGAACUGCGCUUGAGACGGGUGGGCUAGAGAUCGGGAGAGGAGAGUGGAAUUCCCAGUGUAGAGGUGAAAAUUCGUAGAUAUCGGAAGGAACACCAGUGGCGAAAGCGGCUUCCUGGUCCAGCACCGACGUUCAGGCACGAAAGCGUGGGGAGCAAACAGG
rnacentral:rRNA from 1 species